rnacentral:rRNA from 1 species
UAGGGAAUCUUCCGCAAUGGACGCAAGUCUGACGGAGCAACGCCGCGUGAGUGAAGAAGGAUUUCGGUUCGUAAAACUCUGUUGUUAGAGAAGAACAGCGCAUAGAGUAACUGUUAUGCGUGUGACGGUAUCUAACCAGAAAGCCACGGCUAACUACGUGCCAGCAGCCGCGGUAAUACGUAGGUGGCAAGCGUUGUCCGGAUUUAUUGGGCGUAAAGCGAGCGCAGGCGGUCAAUUAAGUCUGAUGUGAAAGCCCCCGGCUCAACCGGGGAGGGUCAUUGGAAACUGGUGGGCUUGAGUGCAGAAGAGGAGAGUGGAAUUCCAUGUGUAGCGGUGAAAUGCGUAGAUAUAUGGAGGAACACCAGGGGCGAAGGCGACUCUCUGGUCUGUAACUGACGCUGAGGCUCGAAAGCGUGGGUAGCAAACAGG